rnacentral:rRNA from 1 species
CCUACGGGAGGCAGCAGUGGGGGAUAUUGCACAAUGGGGGAAACCCUGAUGCAGCGACGCCGCGUGUGGGAAGACGGUCCUCUGGAUUGUAAACCACUGUCCCCAGGGACGAAGAUGACGGUACCUGGGGAGGAAGCUCCGGCUAACUACGUGCCAGCAGCCGCGGUAAUACGUAGGGAGCGAGCGUUGUCCGGAAUUACUGGGUGUAAAGGGAGCGUAGGCGGGACUGCAAGUUGGGUGUCAAAUCUACCGGCUCAACCGGUAGCCGCACUCAAAACUGCAGUUCUUGAGUGAAGUAGAGGCAUGCGGAAUUCCUAGUGUAGCGGUGAAAUGCGUAGAUAUUAGGAGGAACACCAGUGGCGAAGGCGGCCUGCUGGGCUUUUACUGACGCUGAGGCUCGAAAGUGUGGGGAGCGAACAGGAUUAGAUACCCGAGUAGUC